ensembl:lncRNA
GUGGUCCCGGGGAUGGAGGGUCAGGUGGUCCCGGGGAUGGAGGGUCAGGCGGUCCCGGGGAUGGAGGAUGACAAAGGGUUAUGGGAUGUCUAGGGCUACUGUCUGUUUCUCAGGUGGUAAUGAUGCUCAUUGCCAUUAUAGUGCCUUAAUGACUUAGUGUGCUGUCUUCUGUGGAGGUUGCUUCCUUACUCCAGGCCUGGCGCAUGUUCAUCUUAGCAAUGUUCAAACUGUCAUCGGUACUAUAAACUACCUGGACUAACGUCCAACAUUGAUGCCACCUGGACUAACAUCCAAACUUUAGCUGCUCAAAAAACAUCAGGCUUUAUCCAACUACAAAUAGAAAUAAUUGUAUUGGACAUCCUUUUCUGAUACUGACCAAUAUUACUCACCAGUUAGUGAAGUGUGAUCAUCAGAGAAACAGAAGAACAAUGUGAAAGGAUGACCAAGCGCCUCUACUAGUUUGAUAUGAAAAAACCUAGAUUCCUUCUAUUCAUCCUAGCUAUCAAAUGUCUUCUCUGGUCCUGCUGCUGGUGAAGUCAGACUUCAUGGGUCCUGCUGGUGAAGGCAGUCUUCAUGGGUCCUGCUGGAAGUCAAGUCAGUCUUCAUGGGUCCUGUUGGAGAUCAAGUCAGUCUUCAUGGGUCCUGUUGGGGGUCAAGUCAGUCUUCAUGGAUCCUGUUGGAGGUCAAGUCAGUCUUCAUGGGUCCUGUUGGAGGUCAAGGCAGUCUUCAUGGGUUCAGCUGGUGAUCAAGUCAGUCUUCAUGGAUCCUGUUGGAGGUCAAGUCAGUCUUCAUGGGUCCUGUUGGAGGUCAAGGCAGUCUUCAGGGGUUCUGCUGGUGAUCAAGUCAGUCUUCAUGGGUCAUUGCAAGUGGUCAAGUCAGCCUUCAUGGGUCAUUGCAAGUGGUCAAGUCAGUCUUCAUGGGUUCUGUGAUGAUCAAGUCAGUCUUCAUGGGUCAUUGCUGGUGAUCAAGUCAGUCUUCAUGGGUUCUGCUGGUGAUCAAGUCAGUCUUCAUGGGUCCUGUUGGAGGUCAAGGCAGUCUUCAUGGGUUCUGCUGGUGAUCAAGUUAGUCUUCAUGGGUCAUUGCAGGUGGUCAAGUCAGUCUUCCUGGGUCAUGCAGGUGGAGUCACCUCUGAUGAAGUGAAAGCGCUGCCGUCAUGUUGGUUAAAGUAAUAUGGUUGUCUCACUACUAAGUACGUGGCUGUGGAUAAGGGAGUCUGCUAAAUGCCUAAAGUGUAUCAAAAAAAUGAUAAAUGUGAAUGUUCAUCGCAGGAUUCAACUGCCAGAAAGUCCAAAAUGGCUAUAUCAUGGAAAUACAAAAAUGUAUAUUGUUUUCCUGUGUGGCUAUGAUUUUAACCAUAUUUAUAGUUAAUAUCUAAUAAAAGC